rnacentral:rRNA from 1 species
AACAAACGCUGGCGGCGUGCAUAACACAUGCAAGUCGAACGCCCCGCAAGGGGAGUGGCAGACGGGUGAGUAACGCGUGGGAAUCUACCCAGAUCUACGGAACAACAGUUGGAAACGACUGCUAAUACCGUAUACGCCCUACGGGGGAAAGAUUUAUCGGAUUUGGAUGAGCCCGCGUUGGAUUAGCUAGUUGGUGGGGUAAUGGCCUACCAAGGCGACGAUCCAUAGCUGGUCUGAGAGGAUGAUCAGCCACACUGGGACUGAGACACGGCCCAGACUCCUACGGGAGGCAGCAGUGGGGAAUAUUGGACAAUGGGCGCAAGCCUGAUCCAGCCAUGCCGCGUGAGUGAUGAAGGCCUUAGGGUUGUAAAGCUCUUUCACCGAUGAAGAUAAUGACGGUAGUCGGAGAAGAAGCCCCGGCUAACUUCGUGCCAGCAGCCGCCGUAAUAC